rnacentral:rRNA from 1 species
UACGUAGGUGGCAAGCGCUAUCCGGAAUUAUUGGGCGUAAAGCGCGCGUAGGCGGUUUUUUAAGUCUGAUGUGAAAGCCCACGGCUCAACCGUGGAGGGUCAUUGGAAACUGGAAAACUUGAGUGCAGAAGAGGAAAGUGGAAUUCCAUGUGUAGCGGUGAAAUGCGCAGAGAUAUGGAGGAACACCAGUGGCGAAGGCGACUUUCUGGUCUGUAACUGACGCUGAUGUGCGAAAGCGUGGGGAU